UACAGAGGGUGCGAGCGUCAAUCGGAAUUACUGGGCGUAAAGCGCACGUAGGUGGCGACGUAAGUCGGGUGUGAAAGCCCCGGGCUCAACCUGGGAAUUGCAUUCGAGACUGCAUUGCUGGAGUACGGAAGAGGAAGGCGGAAUUCCCGGUGUAGCGGUGAAAUGCGUAGAUAUCGGGAGGAACAUCAGUGGCGAAGGCGGCCUGCUGGGCUGUUGCUGACGCUGAGGCGCGACAGCGUGGGGAGCAAACAGG
rnacentral:rRNA from 1 species